GGGAAUCUUCCACAAUGGGCGAAAGCCUGAUGGAGCAACGCCGCGUGGGUGAAGAAGGUCUUCGGAUCGUAAAACCCUGUUGUUAGAGAAGAACAAGUGGGAGAGUAACUGUUCCCACCUUGACGGUAUCUAACCAGAAAGCCACGGCUAACUACGUGCCAGCAGCCGCGGUAAUACGUAGGUGGCAAGCGUUGUCCGGAUUUAUUGGGCGUAAAGCGAGCGCAGGCGGUUUCUUAAGUCUGAUGUGAAAGCCCCCGGCUCAACCGGGGAGGGUCAUUGGAAACUGGGAGACUUGAGUGCAGAAGAGGAGAGUGGAACUCCAUGUGUAGCGGUGAAAUGCGUAGAUAUAUGGAAGAACACCAGUGGCGAAAGCGGCUCUCUGGUCUGUAACUGACGCUGAGGUUCGAAAGCGUGGGUAGCA
rnacentral:rRNA from 1 species